rnacentral:rRNA from 1 species
UACAGAGGUCUCGAGCGUUGUUCGGAUUCAUUGGGCGUAAAGGGUGCGUAGGUGGCGCGGUAAGUCGGGUGUGAAAUCUCGGAGCUUAACUCCGAAAUUGCAUUCGAUACUGCCGUGCUUGAGGACUGGAGAGGAGACUGGAAUUUACGGUGUAGCGGUGAAAUGCGUAGAUAUCGUAAGGAAGACCAGUGGCGAAGGCGGGUCUCUGGACAGUUCCUGACGCUGAGGCACGAAGGCCAGGGGAGCAAACGGG